UCCUGCUUGUGCACACACAUGCACUCUCUCUCGCUCACUCAAAUAAAAAAAAAAAAAAAAGCUCACUAGGUGUUGACGAUUAUUAUUACUCCUAUUAUUACUAUUACAAACAAGGAACUGAGUCCAGAGAGGGGAAGCGAUAGGUUCGGGCCCCCGCAGCAGGGUGGUGGGAGAGAGAGAGAGAGAGAGAGAGAGAGAAGAGAACAUCUAUGCUAGAGGUAGGGGGAGGCGGUCUGUCCAACUUGGUCGCUAUAUAUAUAGGGAAACUGAGGCCCAGAGAAGGGCGGUGACACUUUUCUCCAGCGCCUCCCCCCACCCCUGCCAAGCCACCUACUCAGGCAAAGAUGUGGGAAAUGGGGAGGUGGCCAGUAGGGAGGCCAGCGUCCUCACCGACAUGGUGGCAGCUCCUGACUGCAGGUCUCCGAGGCUCCUGGAGGCCUGGGCUCAGGAUCGCAAGUCACAGCCCAGUUUAUCUUCUAGAAUAUUACACAUUAACUCCCCAGGCCAUAAAUGGGGACUUUGGUCCCUUCUGCCCAGUUUAUCUUCUAGAAUAUUACACAUUAACUCCUCCAGGCCAUAAAUGGGGACUUUGGUCCCAUCUCCCAGGACCCAGAAUGAACAGAUAGGAGGCUCCACACUCGGGGCACACCUAGCCCCACCCAGAGCAUCCUCCUGACUUCCCUGCACCCAGCCUCCUGCCUCCAGCUCCCCUGCACCCCACCCCCUGCCCAGCCCAGUCUGGCUGGGGAUGAGGCCAGAUGGGUGUCAGCACGAACACCCUGUGAGCUUGGCAAGCCGCCCUGGUCCUGAGCCCCGCUUCCUCAUCUGCAAACAGAGAGACUUGCCCUGUUAAAAAAAAAAAAAAAAAACCUUGAAGCUUCUCAUUUUCUGUGAUGUCAAGAUUGAUUCUGAGAGCCCUUUUGUCUUGCUUUUUCCCCUCGUGCCAUGACUUUUCUGAUCCUACGGACUGGGGAUUUAAAUGCUUCGCUCCUCUUUCGUAACUGACAGGCUCACGCAGGCAGUUCGAAAUCCUCAGUAAGAAAAAAAUGGAGAAGGAAGAGUCCCAUAUAACAACUCUGGGGGAAGCAAACAAGCCAUGUUAUGAACAGCCCUCCAGACAAGCCCCAUGUACCAAAAAACCGAUGCCUCCAGCCAACUGCCAGUGGAGAUCUGAAGCUUGCCAACAGCCUGAUGAGUGAGCCUGGCAGUGACUCUCCCCCAACUUAAGCCAACUUAAGGAUGGCUGAGGUCGCCAACAUCUUGACCACAGCCUUGAUAGAGACCCAGCAAAGUCCUAUCUGGAUUCCUGACCACAGAAGCUGUGAGAAACCUCUUUCUGGUUUAUGUCUCUAUGCUGAGGUGAAUUUGUUACACAGCAAGGAAUGACUAGUACACUUGGCCAAGCGAUUACUACCAAAAGCUUAGUGGGAGAAAUAAUAAUUCUGAAGGCCUCCAAACAAAAGAAUCUGUGGUCUGGGCAUGUCCCUAGCCAUUCCAUCAUACUGGUGUUUUUAAAGACCCAGCUCUUGGUUUUGUGUCCUUAUUUCCUUCCUUUAUGCCCGAUUAGCUCUUUUCUUGGUGUUUCUUUUCUUUUCUUGCUCUUUUUCUAGCUUCUCAAGUUGAAUGUUUAGUUCAUUCAUCAUUCAUCUCGUCUUUUUACUAAUAAAUGCAUUCGAGGCUAUAAA